rnacentral:rRNA from 1 species
GUGUCAGCCGCCGCGGUAAGACGAACCGUGCAAACGUUGUUCGGAAUCACUGGGCUUAAAGGGCGCGUAGGCGGCGGGUCAAGUCCGGGGUGAAAGCUCCCGGCCCAACCGGGAAAGGGCCUCGGAUACUGACGCGCUCGAGGGAGGUAGGGGCAGGCGGAACUUCCGGUGGAGCGGUGAAAUGCGUUGAUAUCGGAAGGAACGCCGGUGGCGAAAGCGGCCUGCUGGACCUCUACUGACGCUGAGGCGCGAAAGCCAGGGGAGCAAACGGGAUUAGAUACCCCGGUAGUCC